rnacentral:misc_RNA from 1 species
CUCACCAGGGGAAUCGAACUCGGGUUCCAAGGUGUCCCGAUCACAAAGAUGACGCCUUCUCCGACUCAUCCACCCGCACCUCAGGAAUAUCUUCUUAUACUUCGUGUUUGACUUUGUUCAAACCAUGACGGAUUGUCUUGAGGCAACUGAAGCAAUUAUGGCUGAACAAGGAGCUUACUCAGUGACUUCUGAACUGGAUAAUAUAAAUAAUCAAAUUGAACAACUUUACCAAGACAAUCAAAGGACCAUGAGUUCUAAACUCCAGAAUGAGCUACGAGGAUUUUAUCAAAUGAAAGAAGUGGUUAUCCAAAAUCACUAUCAGCAUGUUUUUGAUACGAAGGAAAAAAGCCUGGAUCUUAUGUUGAAGGAAGUGGAAAAACUUGUACUGAAAUUCCAUUCUUUCAGUGCAAAUGAAACCGCGAAUCUGCUUUCGAUCUUUAGCGAACAUCAUAGACUUAUAAAUGUGAAAUUAAUUGAAGCCAUUGCUGAAGAAGAGAAAUCCAGAUUAGUAAUAGAAAACAUGAGACAAGAAAUUAAGAUGCUAAAACACCAACUGCUUGAAAAGUCAGCAGAACUGCAGAGAAAAGAUAAGAGGUUGAUUGAACUGGAGAUAGCUGCUGAAAAUGCAAACCUACCGCCACAGUUAUCUAACACUGAUCAGGCUUUGGAGACUCAAGCAGAAAGAAAACUGAAGCAUAUUUCAGAUAUUGAAAUGGAUAGCUUUAGCGAUCGAGAAGAAACCCCGGCAACAGUUGAUAGUGAUAGCAGCGUUGAUAGCAGCUAUCAUUCUUCUGAAUCACGCAUUCGUCACUCUCGCAAGACACACAAAAGAAACGAUACGCCAUGGAAUUUUGGAACGUGGUAAUAGAAGAAUGGAGUUUGAGGCCUCUUGUAAACCAAAGAGCAUUUUAAAUAACGCAACUCUCUAAAGAGAAACAAAAUUCUAUUUCAGCUUUUUAGUCCCUACUUGGAAUGGUAAAUUGUCUUGUCGUUUAUUAAUUUAUUGAAUCCCUUUUGGUAAUCAUUUAUUUGUUAUGUAAUAACACGUUACGAAAUUUGAUAUGGACCAUAAGAAACGCGUAAAUACAUGAGUCUGAGGAAACGGAUUUGCACCAUCAGUUAGCGCACGCCCUCUUGUUGUCUUAGGGAAAACCUCUAAUGCAUUAGAUUUGACAUAAAAAAUCUAAUCAAAACAAAAAAGAGUUAAGCGGUUUAACUUCAACCUGCUCGUAUAACGGCCCCUAUUGUUCCUGCCACUUAAUUGUGUUUAGCUCAGAUCAGUUUAAUGACCGCAAAUCGAUUUAGUCCAGGAAAUCAUUCCUUGGGAUAUCUUACC